AUGUCUCAUCCUGCUCCUAGCCGGCGAUGGGAACUUUGGUGGGCAACCUAUUCUUCUCCAUGGUGCUCCAGCAACUACAUAAGCAUACCGGGCCUCUCAGAUUGUUGCCCUGCAGGAUUCACGUUGGAGGGGAUGGAGGGCACUGUUCAAGAGAGGACAUGUCGAUGGGGAACAACAAUACACCAGGCUCCCCUGUAUUUCUUUCCGUUUCAUGUACUAUUCCUUCUUCCACCAAACAAUUUCUUUGUCCUGACAUCCUGCCAAUCCAAUUUGUACAUACAGGUAAUGUUUUUUGGCGGUGGUCAAUUGACUUGA
rnacentral:rRNA from 1 species